AAGAGACACUGACCAACUUUAAGCAGAGCUCGGCUAUGCAGUUCGCCGAGUGCUCAGGUCCCUUCAUGAUGGUGGUUAUGACUCGGUUUUAGCUCUUGUGCUACCAGAGGAGUGACUGUGCAGGAGUAGAAGUCAGGAGAGAUGCUGACUCUAAAAACCCAGGCACCUUGCGCUUUGAAGCUCAAGCAGCCACAUGGAGAGACCGUGUGCAGGUCUUGCAGCCAACUGCCCCAGCUGAGAUCCUGGCCAACGGCCAGCAUCCACCACCAGACAUGCUAGGAACUGAUUGCUGUGCUCAACUGCUCAACCUGUGACCACCCAGCUUGAGACAACAGACCUGCCACAUGCUGUGUCCAUCAAGACAGCAGACCUGCUAUCUACUGUGUGAAUAGCUGUGCUGUGCCAGCUAGGCAAUCUCAUGACUGUUGUAAAAGGGACAUUCCUAUCACAUGUGAUGUACGCUCUUUGUUCUAAGAUGGUAUAUAACCACUUUGUAUGCCCCACUUCUUUGGUGCCCUUCCUUCCUUGUGGAAUGAAGGCCCCAGGCUAAGCUAGUCCUCAGAUCUGGUUCCUAAUAAACUCACCGCAAUUUCGAUG
rnacentral:lncRNA from 1 species